rnacentral:rRNA from 1 species
AAUGAACGCUAGCGGCAGGCUUAAUACAUGCAAGUCGAGGGGCAGCGCAGUGUAGCAAUACAUGGGCGGCGACCGGCAAACGGGUGCGGAACACGUACGCAACCUUCCUUUAAGUGGGGGAUAGCCCAGGGAAACUUGGAUUAAUACCCCGUAAUAUUAUGAAGUGGCAUCACUUUAUACUUAUAGCUCCGGCGCUUAAAGAUGGGCGUGCGACUGAUUAGGUAGUUGGCGGGGUAACGGCCCACCAAGCCUGCGAUCAGUAACUGGUGUGAGAGCACGACCAGUCACACGGGCACUAAGACACGGGCCCGACUCCUACGGGAGGCAGCAGUAAGGAAUAUUGGUCAAUGGACGCAAGUUUGAACCAGCCAUGCCGCGUGGAGGAUGAAGGUCCUCUGGAUUGUAAACUUCUUUUAUUUGGGAAGAAACCCACUGUUUCUACGGUGGUUGACGGUACCAGAUGAAUAAGCACCGGCUAACUCCGUGCCAGCAGCCGCGGUAA